CUGCCUCCUUCUAGGCCAGCCCUGAGAGAGGAGAGUGAAAGCCCAGUUCCCGGCACGAGGCUCCGCCUCUGCCGAGCUAUGGAGAGGGCCGCACCAUCCUCUGCACUG
rnacentral:lncRNA from 1 species